GUAGGGAAUAUUGGGCAAUGGAGGCAACUCUGACCCAGCCAUGCCGCGUGCAGGAUGACGGCCCUCUGGGUUGUAAACUGCUUUUAUACGGGAAGAAAAAAUACUACGUGUAGUAUACUGACGGUACCGUAAGAAUAAGGAUCGGCUAACUCCGUGCCAGCAGCCGCGGUAAUACGGAGGAUCCAAGCGUUGUCCGGAUUUAUUGGGUUUAAAGGGUGCGUAGGCGGAUCUUUAAGUCAGUGGUGAAAGCCUGCAGCUUAACUGUAGAAUUGCCAUUGAAACUGAAGAUCUUGAAUGUGGUUAAAGUAGGCGGAAUGUAUCAUGUAGCGGUGAAAUGCUUAGAUAUGAUACAGAACACCGAUAGCGAAGGCAGCUUGCUGAACCAUUAUUGACGCUGAGGCACGAAAGCGUGGGGAGCGAACAGGAUUAGAAAUCCCGGUAGUCC
rnacentral:rRNA from 1 species